CGCAAGGCCUUAAGGCAAUGACAGUCUUACGAAGCGUGUCAGGUCCGGAAGGAAGCAGCACUAAGUACGUAUUGUCAUGUGCCUUUUGUUUUAUAGAA
rfam:Lactobacillus harbinensis DSM 16991 NODE_68, whole genome shotgun sequence.